AACGAACGCUGGCGGCAGGCUUAACACAUGCAAGUCGAGCGCCCCGCAAGGGGAGCGGCAGACGGGUGAGUAACGCGUGGGAACGUGCCCUUUGCUACGGAAUAGCUCCGGGAAACUGGAAUUAAUACCGUAUGAGCCCUUUGGGGGAAAGAUUUAUCGGCAAAGGAUCGGCCCGCGUUGGAUUAGCUAGUUGGUGGGGUAAAGGCCUACCAAGGCGACGAUCCAUAGCUGGUCUGAGAGGAUGAUCAGCCACAUUGGGACUGAGACACGGCCCAAACUCCUACGGGAGGCAGCAGUGGGGAAUAUUGGACAAUGGGCGCAAGCCUGAUCCAGCCAUGCCGCGUGAGUGAUGAAGGCCUUAGGGUUGUAAAGCUCUUUCACCGGAGAAGAUAAUGACGGUAUCCGGAGAAGAAGCCCCGGCUAACUUCGUGCCAGCAGCCGCCGUAA
rnacentral:rRNA from 1 species